AGCUUUGCACAGCGGCAGUAUCGUAGCCAAUGAGGUUUAUCUGAGGCGCGAUUAUUGCUGAUUAUUGUAAUUGAAGAAUGAAUGAGCAGUGCUUCCUUCACUGCAAUGUCAGGUUACAUAUCAGCAGCCACCCACAUAUG